rnacentral:rRNA from 1 species
GACGAACCGUGCGAACGUUGUUCGGAAUUACUGGGCGUAAAGCGCGCGUAGGCGGCUUUGUAAGUUAGAGGUGAAAGCCCGGGGCUCAACCCCGGAACUGCCUUUAAAACUGCAUCGCUUGAAUCCGGGAGAGGUGAGUGGAAUUCCGAGUGUAGAGGUGAAAUUCGUAGAUAUUCGGAAGAACACCAGUGGCGAAGGCGGCUCACUGGACUGGUAUUGACGCUGAGGUGCGAAAGCGUGGGGAGCAAACAGG